rnacentral:rRNA from 1 species
GGAUUAGAUACCCUGGUAGUCCACGCCGUAAACGAUGUGCACUAAAUAUUGGAGGAUUGACCCCUUCAGUGUUGUAGCUAACGCGUUAAGUGCACCGCCUGGGGAGUACGGUCGCAAGACUAAAACUCAAAGGAAUUGACGGGGGCCCGCACAAGCGGUGGAUUAUGUGGUUUAAUUCGAAGCAACGCGCAGAACCUUACCUAGGCUUGAAAUCCCGAGAAUCUAACUGAAAGGUUGGAGUGCUCUUCGGAGAAUUCGGUGACAGGCGCUGCAUGGCUGUCGUCAGCUCUGCUGU